rnacentral:rRNA from 1 species
GGCUAACACUGGCGGCGUGUCUUAGCCAUGCAAGUCGAGCGGACUUAUGGGGUAACUUAUAAGUCAGCGGCGGACGGCGGAGUAACACGUAGCUAACCUACCCUCUGGACGGGGAUAACCUACCGAAAGGUGGGCUAAUACCCGAUGUAGUCAUCCUGUAUAGGGGUGAUGAAAGGUGGGCUUCUGUUUACAAGCUCAUGCUGGAGGAGGGGGCUGCGGCCUAUCAGGUAGUUGGUAGGGUAAUAGCCUACCAAGCCGAUGACGGGUAGCCGGCCUGAGAGGGUGACCGGCCCGAGGGGCACUGAGAUACGGGUCCCACUCCUACGGGAGGCAGCAGGCUAGAAAUUUGGGCAAUGGGGGAAACCCUGACCCAGUGACGCCGCGUGCAGGAAGGAGCCCUUCGGGGUGUAAACUGCUGUCGUGUAGGGAGAAGGGUACUAAGGUGAACAAUCUUAGUACUUGACGGUACUACAGGAGGAAGCCCAGGCUAACCUCGUG